rnacentral:lncRNA from 1 species
AUGAACCUUGUUUUUGCAAAUGCUCCCAAGGAGAAUAACCGUUCUCUCUCUCUCUCUCUCUCUCUCUCUCUCUCAGUCUCUCAUUUCCCCCUUGUCCUCCUUCCUGUCCAAGGAGGGGGUGGAUCUGGCAACAUCUGCGAAGGCUCAGGCCAGACCUGGGCCUCAUGCCUCUGCCAGCCCACGCCCCCAGACCGCAGCUGGCCAGGCCACUGGGUGGUGUCCCCCGAGGGUGAGGACAGAAGCUGCAGUUGUCCUCUGCUUCUGACACCAGAGGAGUGUUCUGGCCACCAGGACGUCUUCAAAGGAGAGAUUGCCAAGACAAAAACCAGGGUUUGGGAGGAAAAUCAAGACCAGCAAACAACCAACAAGAGAAACAACUCCAGUCCUGAAGCAAUCUGAAUCAAAACGGACAACCUGGAACACAUCUGGCAAGUCAGGAUGCCCUUUCAAAGUUACGCAUUUAUUCAACCAAUACAUCUGCACAAUGCCACGCAUGAGGCACUGCUCAAAGCAUUAGGUCCCAGAG